GAGUGAGAGGCAGCGAAGAAAAACAGAUCUCCUGUUCUACUUUACAAUUCUUGAUACUGACCCUGCUCAGCUGUAGCCAUGACGACCAUGCUGCUGAGAGCGCUAGGAGCACUGCUCUGCUCCUUGGUUGUCACCGCUGAGGUUCUGCCCCAAGGAGACUUCAAUCUGCAGGGGGUUGCAGGAAAGUGGUACCUGAUUGGAUUUGCUACUAAUGCCCAGUGGUUUGUCAGCCACAGGGCCAGCAUGAAGAUGGGCACCGCCAUGCUGACACCAACUGUUGAAGGAGACCUGGACAUGGCAUAUGCUAGCCUGAACACUGAUGGCUCCUGCUGGAGAAUGAACCACCUGGCUGAGAAGACAAACCUUCCUGGGAAAUUCAUCUUCAAGAGCCAGCGCUGGAAUAAUGAAAAUGACAUGCGUGUCGUUGAUGUUAAGUAUGAUGAGUACGCACUCAUUCACACCAUCAAGACCAAGGGAGGUGUUUCAACUGUGCUCAACAAACUGUAUGCCCGCGGGACAGACUUGAGCCCUGACCUGCUACAGAAGUUUAAGCAGUUCUCCCUGGACACUGGCAUUCUGCCUGAGAACAUUGCUAUCCUCCCCAAAAACGAUGAGUGUCCCGCUGCGUAAUUUCAUCAAUACUCAUCACUUCCAAAGCGUCCUCCCUUGAUCCUUCUGCAUGGCUUUGCUACUUGAUGGGUCAUCCUCCCCAGAGUCUGCCUUGAAGAUGUACACCUUGAUCACCUCCUGGCCGUCCUCAUCCUUCUCCACCUCCUGGUCCUCCUCGGCUCCCUCUACAGUCACCUCUGUGCCAUCGUCUGACACCAUCUUGCCUGCCUCAUCCACUGGAGGAAGAUGAAAAGAGACAGACAGAGUGAGAGAUCCAUUCACUACUGGUCAUUAGUUUAACUGUAAUGUUAUCUUUAUAAAAAGGCCAGGUGACAGUGGUAUUGAUGUAGAACUGGAGAGGAGAGAAGCAGCCUGGUACUCACAGGAGAUCAUCAGGUAGUCCCCACAGCCGUCUGUGUCUUGCUCUGGGUCCAGUUCAUCCUGGGUAUGCCCGUCUGCGACCAUCACAUCCUCAGGGAUGUCCCCCAUGGCAACACCUUCGUCCUCCCCCUCCAGUGACAUCACACACGUCUCCACAGCAACAUCCUCGUCCUCAUCGCAGUGCACAUACUCAGACACCACGUCCUCAACAGCAUCCUGGAUUACCAGCUCGUCUGAAGCAAAUCCAUGCACCGCCAUUCCCUCCCCCUCCCCCUCCGACACCAGCACAGUCUCCUGCAGCUCCACCACAAACUCCUCCCCUGCAGCACCACCCUCAUCUGGAACACAUCAACACAGGAACAGUUGGAUAUAUUCAGCAUAGGCCUACAUAAACAUGCUGCAGAAGACACAUUCAUGCACUCUUACACAGACAAUAACAACAAAAAACUUGGAAGACAUGUUAGAUUUUUGUGCAGAACAACGAACAGUACAGGGAAUUACUUGAAUUCGCAUACAAAAUGUUGCUAUUACCUGAUCCAUGGAGAAUGAUUUUAGGCUCUUGGGAAUGUAGUGCCAGCCUGGUCUCGUCCUCAUCCAUUGUCCUUACACCUCAUUGGUCACUGCAGCACUGGAGGCAAGAAUUGACCAGUCAAAUCAGUCACAUAGGCCUAAUGGCCAACCAAAAUGAGUCUACCACAGGGGUGAAACUUUCACUGGGGACGGGGGGGAGACAUGACCCCAACAUAUUCUAAAAUUCCAUUUUUGUUCCCCCCGUUUUAUGAUUGCUGUGUGAUACUAAAAGCGUCAUAGGUGUGCUUAAGAACCAUGCGGAAGCCUCAGAGCGGUUGGGUAGGUUGUUUGCCGGUUUUAGCAGGCAGGAUUUAGGACUGCACGGAAACCACAGAGCGUGCAGGCAGGCUGUAUAAAGGCAAAGGUAUUAUUAUAGAACCAGCGCGGUGCUGCUGUCUGCAUCUGCUGUGCAUUUUCUCCAGGUUGUAAAAGCAAGCAGAGCAGAAACUGGCUACUUUUUAUUUGAUUGAUGCAGCUGGCAAGGUAACUGUCGUUUGACUUAAAACUUCUUAUGGCUGCAAUCCCGCUAACGGGAUUGAUAUGACAACAGCCAGUGAAAGUGCAGGGCUCCAAAUUCAAACAUCAGAAAUCUCAUAAUUAAAAUUCCUCAAACAUACAUGUGUCUUAUAUCAUUUUAAAGGUAAUCUUGUUGUUAAUCCCACCAAAGUGUCCGAUUUCAAAUAUGCUUUUCAGCAAAAGUAGUACAAAUGAUUGUUAGGUCACCACCAAACCACAAUAAGCACAGCCAUUUUUCCAGUGAAACAUAGCAGUCACAAAAAGCAGAAAUAGAGAUAAAAUGAAUCACUAACCUUUGAUGAUCUUCAUCAGAUGACACUCAUAGGCCUUCAUGUUACAGAAUCCAUGCAUGUUUUGUUUGAUAAAGUUCAUAUUUAUAUCAAAAAAUCGGAGUUUACAUUGGCGCGUUACAUUCAGUAGUUCCAAAAACAUCAAGUGAUUUUGCAUAGCCACAUCGUUUCAACAGAAAUACUCAUCAUAAAUGUAGAUGAUAAUACAAGUUAUACACAUGGAAUUAUAGAUAUACCUCUUCUUAAUGCAACCGCUGUGUCAGAUUUUUUUUAAACUUUACGAAAAAAGCAAACCAUGCAAUAAUCUGAGACGGCGCUCAGAACAAUAGCCAAAUUAGCCGCCAUGUUGGAGUCAACAGAAACCAGAAAAUACAUGAUAAAUGCUUCCUUACCUUUGAUGAACUUCAUCAGAAUGCAGUCCUAGGGAUCCCAGAUCCACAAUAAAUGCUUGAUUUGUUCGAUAAUGUCCGUUAUUUAUGUCCAAUUAGCUACUUUGGUUAGCGCGUUUGGUAAACAAUUCCAAAGUCACAAAGCGCGUCCACUAUAGCGUGACGAAAUGUCCAAAAGUUCCAUAACAGUCAGUAGAAACAUGUCAAACGAUGUACUGAAUCAAUCUUUAGAAUGUUGUUAACAUACAUCUUGAAUAACGUUCCAACCGGAGAAUUAGAUUGACUUCAGUUGAGCGAUGGAACGGAGCUGCCUAUCACGUGAAUGCGCGUGGUCAAAGCAUGGUCAGCUCGUGGCAGUGGGGACUAAUUCCUGUCUCCUUCGGCCCCCCUUCACAUUAGAGUCAUCAGACAAAGUUCUAUUGACUGUUGACAUCUAGUGAAAGCCGUAGGAAGUGAAGACUCAUCAAUAUCUCGCUGUAAUUUCAAUGAGAGCUUGGUUGAAAAUCUGCCACCCCCAGAAAAAAUCCAAACAGGAAGUGGAACUUCUCAGGUUUCUGCCUGCGAUAUGAGUUCUGUUAUACUCACAGACAUAAUUCAAACAGUUUUAGAAACUUCAGAGUGUUUUCUAUCCAAUACUAAUAAUAAUAUGCAAAUAUUAGCAACUAUGACUGAGGAGCAGGCCGUUUACUCUGGGCACCUCUGUGCACCUUUCAUCCAAGCUACUCAAUACUGCCCCUGCAGCCAUAAGAAGUUAACAGAAAAAAAGUAUUUAUUCCCAGUGCUGAGCUAGUAGUGUAACUGGCAUGUAACAUGACAUGUUUCAUCCCUCUCAAGAAGUUCUGUCUGAAGAGAACUAACCAGCUAGCUUUUUUUUGGGGGGGGGGGGGGGGAUCAGCUUAAUAUUGCGGAAAGAAUGUUGCUUCCAAUGUAAUUGUCUGCAUCAUUUCCAAUCCCCCAUAUUUUUUGGGGUAAAUAUAUAUAUCCAUUCACGUAUGCAUACAUAUACACAUAUAUACAUACACAUACCUACAUAGACAUACAUACUUUUUUUAAAGAGUAUACCUUUAUUAUUAUUCCCCGCAAACCCUACCACCGAUCCCCCAAUUGGAGUAAACUGAUAAACAUUUCUGUUUUUACCUUCAAUUUAUACAUCUUAUACACAUUUUACAGACACAGUCUGCUUUAUAAUAGUUCUCUCUUGUUUGUUCUUAGCCCUUCCUCUAUUUCUGUUGUCCAUCCAGUUUGAUUUCCACUUGUAACUGUGCUAUUUCUCAAUAGCCCCGCACCUAUACACAUUUCACAGAUCCCGUAUGCCCUACAUUGUUUAUCUUGUUAUUAGUCCCACCCUUCAGCUCCACUCAACCUUUCCCAUCUAUCUUCCAACAUCAUCCAUUUCGGAUUUUUAUUUGCCAUAUAUUUUUCAACUGUGCUGUGAUGCUUCACAAAAGAUUUGAAUCUUCCCAUUCUCAUAGCUUCCACGGAUUGUAAAUUAAAAAUAAACAUUUUUGCUAAAAUAA